rnacentral:rRNA from 1 species
GACGAACGCUGGCGGCAUGCCUAAUACAUGCAAGUCGAACGCCAAAUCUUCCUGCUUGCAGGAAGAGGCGGAGUGGCGAACGGGUGAGUAACACGUGAGGAACUUGCCCAUAAGAGGGGGAUAACACCCGGAAACGGGUGCUAAUACCGCAUCGGUUUUCCCAGUGCAUGCUGGGAAAAUAAAAGGUGGCUCUGCUACCGCUUAUGGAUAGCCUCGCGGCGCAUUAGCUAGUUGGUAGGGUAAAGGCCUACCAAGGCCAUGAUGCGUAGCCGACUUGAGAGGGUGAUCGGCCACACUGGAACUGAGACACGGUCCAGACUCCUACGGGAGGCAGCAGUAGGGAAUCUUCCACAAUGGGUGCAAGCCUGAUGGAGCAAUGCCGCGUGAGUGAAGAAGGACUUCGGUUCGUAAAGCUCUGUUGUUGGGGAAGAACACGGAUAGGAGUCACUGCCUAUCCCUUGACGGUACCCAACCAGAAAGUCACGGCUAACUACGUGCCAGCAGCCGCGGUAAUACGUAGGUGACAAGCGUUGUCCGGAUUUAUUGGGCGUAAAGGGAGCGCAGGCGGUCCGGUAAGUCUGAUGUGAAAGCCCACGGCUCAACCGUGGAAACGGCAUUGGAAACUGGCGGACUUGAAUGUAGCAGAGGAAAGUGGAAUUCCAUGUGUAGCGGUGGGAUGCGUAGAUAUAUGGAGGAACACCAGUGGCGAAAGCGACUUUCUGGGCUAUGAUUGACGCUGAGGCUCGAAAGCGUGGGGAGCGAACAGGAUUAGAUACCCUGGUAGUCCACGCCGUAAACGAUGAGUGCUAAGUGUUGGGGGGUUUCCGCCCUUCAGUGCUGGAGUUAACGCAUUAAGCACUCCGCCUGGGGAUUACGACCGCAAGGUUGAAACUCAAAAGAAUUGACGGGGACCCGCACAAGCGGUGGAGCAUGUGGUUUAAUUCGAAGCAACGCGAAGAACCUUACCAGCUCUUGACAUCUUCUGCCACCUUCAGAGAUGGAAGGUUCCCUUCGGGGACAGAAUGACAGGUGGUGCAUGGUUGUCGUCAGCUCGUGUCGUGAGAUGUUGGGUUAAGUCCCGUAACGAGCGCAACCCUUAUUGUUAGUUGCCAGCAUUGAGUUGGGCACUCUAGCAAGACUGCCGGUGAUAAACCGGAGGAAGGCGGGGAUGACGUCAAAUCAUCAUGCCCCUUAUGAGCUGGGCUACACACGUGCUACAAUGGAUGGUACAACGAGUGGCGAGACCGCGAGGUUUAGCUAAUCUCCCAAAGCCAUUCUCAGUUCGGAUUGCAGGCUGCAACUCGCCUGCAUGAAGUCGGAAUCGCUAGUAAUCGCGGAUCAGAAUGCCGCGGUGAAUUCGUUCCCGGGUCU